UAAUUCAAGUCUACGUCCUGAACAUGCCCGAUCUCAUCUGAUCUCAGAAGCUAAGCAGGGUCAGGCCUGGUUAGUACUUGGAAGGGAGAAAAUGUAAUUCAGGCUAGUGUUAA
rnacentral:rRNA from 1 species